AUUGAACGCUGGCGGCAUGCCUUACACAUGCAAGUCGAACGGCAGCACGGGAGCAAUCCUGGUGGCGAGUGGCGAACGGGUGAGUAAUGUAUCGGAACGUACCUUUCAGUGGGGGAUAACGUAGCGAAAGUUACGCUAAUACCGCAUAUUCUGUGAGCAGGAAAGCAGGGGAUCGCAAGACCUUGCGCUGAUUGAGCGGCCGAUAUCAGAUUAGCUAGCUGGUGGGGUAAAGGCCUACCAAGGCGACGAUCUGUAGCGGGUCUGAGAGGAUGAUCCGCCACACUGGGACUGAGACACGGCCCAGACUCCUACGGGAGGCAGCAGUGGGGAAUUUUGGACAAUGGGCGCAAGCCUGAUCCAGCCAUGCCGCGUGCGGGACGAAGGCCUCGGUUGUAACCGGACUUUCAGCCGGAACGAAAUACGCCAA
rnacentral:rRNA from 1 species